CUGGUCACCCGGUCGUUGGCUCCACCUUGCACCACCCAACAAAAUGGCAGGUAGCAUCAGGCGAGGCCGAGAGCGCCGGCUCCCGCUCCAGCCCAGCGCGGCCCCUGGCCAAACCGCCGGGGGUCUCUGACAGUACCCCAACUCCAAAGAGCCUUCUCCUCUCCAAGUCCCCAAUCCUCGGCCCCGCGGGGCCUCCUGCUCGCUCUCCCGGGACCACUUCUGUCGCCAGCGGAGGAGCAGGUGCCAGCGUAACAGCUCCCCUACCCCACUUCCCUCAAUUUAACUGCAAGACUGGUCUUGGAGCUGUGACUCAGAAGGUGAAAUCAAGGUCAUCAGUCACACCUAAAAAGUGGAGUGGCUCAGCUUAAAAUGGGACUCUUGUGGGAUUUGAAAAACACCACUAGAACAGUGUCGCCUACUGAAGUCAGAUGGGUCAGCUCAAACAUCUAGUGGCAGUGUAUGCCGGGCAGCUCUCAAUAAACAAAGUACAUCCAAAAGGAAGACCUCUUCAAGUUCUUUACCCUGAAGAUGUGCAGCUAUAGUGAUGGACCCCCAGAAUUUCAAUGAAUAAGCCUACAAUGACUUUGAAGUUCCCAGAAGUGCUCAGUGACUCAGAAAAGCCUCAACUGUGCUUGUCUUAAAAAUUACCACCAAGGGGAAAACUUCACUGUGUCCCUUCCAGCACCCUCCUUGCUGUACCAUGCAUCCCCCACCAUCCCCAGCUCUACCUGCUUUCUACCUGCUUCCACAAUGACCAGUGGAAUAAAAGAAAUAUC